ACACACACACACACACGCACACACACACAAUAACUCUCUGCCCAGUUACAUUCAAGCUGGUAAGGAGGAGAGGGGAGCUCUGAAUCUGAAACUCUGGACCUUACAAUAUUUUCCAUAAAUCAUAAACACUGUUAUUUGUAGGUUGUGUUUUAAAGCAGUGCGAGUGGAGAUUCUCACCAAGCAAGCGAACAAACGUUGCAGAUGUUUCUAUAACGUUCCAGGACAGCUGUUGGAAUGUUUUCCCACCACAUGACAGAGGACAAGAAAGCACAGCCAAUGGCUUCCCUGACCCAGGUCACCUGACCAGGUCACUUGACCAGAACCCGACCGUUGGCGCUGUGGUCAGCUCAACCCAGCCCACGCGGCUGUGUGUACACAGAUCUAACGCCAAACGCAGAAAGAAGAUGUCAGUCAGCGACUUCAAAAGCGAUCCACUCCUACACAGAGGGAGGUGUGUUCUGCAGCCAACGGAACGGACCCAGGUCCAUGUAUCCUGCUGGAGAGGAUGGCAGGAUGCAGUGAGUCUGGUGGGUCUGUUCAACAAGGUCCAUCCACACAGUGAGACAGCCCAGGAGGCCUCCAGCCAACAGGCCUCUGGACUGGACCUGCUCAAGGUGAAGCCUAAUCUGCUGACACUAGUAUAUCUCAGAACCUGA
rnacentral:lncRNA from 13 species